rnacentral:lncRNA from 1 species
AAGUUUGUUGACCCGAGAGGCUUAGUAUCAACCAUAGGUACAGUCAAAGUCAAUAUGGAGGCUGAAAAUCUAGUGCUAACAGAAAAAUAGAAGUCAAUAUUUAGGAUGUGAGUCAGGAACUUAAAAUAGGAAAGUGAAACAGAUGAGGGCUGUAGCUGCAACAGUGUUGGAGGUGAAAUGUUUAGAUCCGAGGACCACUGCUGAUUACUAUCUUCCCCUCUAACAAGGUUGCUCAGUCUGCUUCAGAAAUUCAUUUCCAGUGGCCAGGCCACCUCCCUGACCUAUAUUCCUCAGACUGCCAUUACGUCAGAGCCUGCCUAUUUGGGGCUAUAAGUGAAAUCCUCUGUCUUCUAGGUGAAAUCCACAGUUUGGCUGCAUUGGACCAGACCUCCAGGAGAUGUGAAUCUGUCCAACCCCAUUCAAGUGGAGCCCAUUUACUCCAGCUAAGGUUCUAGCCCACAUCUUCUGGGAUUUGAAGAAUUUGGCCCCCAACCACGUUCUCCCAUUGCAGUAGCUUGGUAGCUCAGAAGGUUUCUUGGGAGUCACCCUGACAUUAUUUUGCUUCUGUAAUAGAACUCCAUGGCAUCCCCCUCUGACACAUGUGAUGACAUUCCUUUGUUUUGGCUUUGAUAUCAUAACAUUGUUUUCACAGACUUGCCCUGAUCUUAUUGUGACAAGGUCAAAUCCCAUUCAAUUCAAGAGGAAAGUAUUAAUACUGAGGUGAAAAACCUCUGGUAUUAAUUAAGCUCUGAAUAGUAACUUCAGGCGUAUGCUGCUGUCCUUAUUUGUUGCAUGUAAAAUACUUCAGCCAACACAAUUGGUCCGUGCUAAUGAUCCACACAGUGCUAAUUUUAGUUUUAAAAAAUAUGUGUACUUGAAUGAUUGCUGGGCUGGGUAAAAGAAAAAAAAAACAGAUGCAAAAUCUGAACCGUGCUCAAAAGUAAGACCAGAAGUAGAAGAGAAAGAUGUCCAACAAGCAACCUUGCAAUACAACACAGUUGAAUGGGAAAAUACGUUGCUGAAAUUAUUAUGGGGGGUGAAAAGUAAGUUUUUAACUAAGCUAUAUAUUUAUGUAAAUUUGAACUUUUUAUUCUGAAACCCAAAUCUCAAGUAUUUCAGCUGAAACACAGUUUGAUUGUAAUACGGUUCCUGUUUCUUGGAACCCCAUCAGACUAUCAUGAAUCUUGCCAGCUUUUAAUGUAACAUAAUUGCUGACUUGCACAAUUUGCUAGUGUUAUUGUAAUAUCAAACAAUUGUUAUUUUGUAUUGUACUCAGGCAACAGGGACAGUGAGCGGGUCCUGAAGUAUAUACAUGGGGAUGUACAGUGCCUGGUAGCUAUUUCCCUUAGUAUUUAGUGUAACAGAGUAUACAAACUGCAGUACAGGGUGAGGAAAGACAUGCCCAUGCUCCUAAAUGAGGCCUGCUGUGCAGUCAGAAUGUAACAGGAUCCCAGG